rnacentral:rRNA from 1 species
AGAGUUUGAUCCUGGCUCAGGACGAACGCUGGCGGCGCGCCUAACACAUGCAAGUCGAACGAGCGAGAGAGAGCUUGCUUUCUUGAGCGAGUGGCGAACGGGUGAGUAACGCGUGAGGAACCUGCCUCAAAGAGGGGGACAACAGUUGGAAACGACUGCUAAUACCGCAUAAGCCCACGGCUCGGCAUCGAGCAGAGGGAAAAGGAGCAAUCCGCUUUGAGAUGGCCUCGCGUCCGAUUAGCUGGUUGGUGAGGUAACGGCCCACCAAGGCGACGAUCGGUAGCCGGACUGAGAGGUUGAACGGCCACAUUGGGACUGAGACACGGCCCAGACUCCUACGGGAGGCAGCAGUGGGGAAUAUUGCACAAUGGGGGAAACCCUGAUGCAGCGACGCCGCGUGGAGGAAGAAGGUCUUCGGAUUGUAAACUCCUGUUGUUGAGGAAGAUAAUGACGGUACUCAACAAGGAAGUGACGGCUAACUACGUGCCAGCAGCCGCGGUAAAACGUAGGUCACAAGCGUUGUCCGGAAUUACUGGGUGUAAAGGGAGCGCAGGCGGGAAGACAAGUUGGAAGUGAAAUCCAUGGGCUCAACCCAUGAACUGCUUUCAAAACUGUUUUUCUUGAGUAGUGCAGAGGUAGGCGGAAUUCCCGGUGUAGCGGUGGAAUGCGUAGAUAUCGGGAGGAACACCAGUGGCGAAGGCGGCCUACUGGGCACCAACUGACGCUGAGGCUCGAAAGUGUGGGUAGCAAACAGGAUUAGAUACCCUGGUAGUCCACACUGUAAACGAUGAUUACUAGGUGUUGGAGGAUUGACCCCUUCAGUGCCGCAGUUAACACAAUAAGUAAUCCACCUGGGGAGUACGACCGCAAGGUUGAAACUCAAAGGAAUUGACGGGGGCCCGCACAAGCAGUGGAGUAUGUGGUUUAAUUCGACGCAACGCGAAGAACCUUACCAAGUCUUGACAUCCUGCGACGGUGCUGGAAACAGUACUUUCCUUCGGGACGCAGAGACAGGUGGUGCAUGGUUGUCGUCAGCUCGUGUCGUGAGAUGUUGGGUUAAGUCCCGCAACGAGCGCAACCCUUAUGGUCAGUUACUACGCAAGAGGACUCUGGCCAGACUGCCGUUGACAAAACGGAGGAAGGUGGGGAUGACGUCAAAUCAUCAUGCCCUUUAUGACUUGGGCUACACACGUACUACAAUGGCGUUAAACAAAGAGAAGCAAGACCGCGAGGUGGAGCAAAACUCAGAAACAACGUCCCAGUUCGGACUGCAGGCUGCAACUCGCCUGCACGAAGUCGGAAUUGCUAGUAAUCGCAGAUCAGCAUGCUGCGGUGAAUACGUUCCCGGGCCUUGCACACACCGCCCGUCA